ensembl:lncRNA
CACCUGUAUGAGCUUGGCUUUGUGCAAAACCCUGCUGACAUGAUCAAUAACCCUGCUGACAUGAUCAAUGCUUGUAACAUUCCUCAUAACACAUCUGUAACCCUGGCUUCCCCUCCCUUUCUCCCUCCCGCCCUCUCUCUUUCUCCCUCUCUCCCCCUCUCUUCCUUCCUCUCUCCUUCCCUCCAUUCAUCUCCAGAAAGUAGCUCAGAUCAUAAGCCCUUCCACUAUAGUGUGAUUCCUGACUGGGACCCUGCUUGGAGUCUGAUAUCCAGAAAGACACUAUUACCACGCCAAGGAAGACAGACGAGACCAAUAUGUUUUCUCGCGCUGCCAGCAGCACCUCUCAUGGACACUGUAAAGACCCGGGACUGUUUUUAAAUGAAAAGAAAGGCCACUUUUGAGCAUAGCUUUUAUAUAGUUUUUUUUUUUUUUUUAAAGUUAAUUUAAAUAUUGUUAUAUUUUUCUUCCCAAAAGUACCUGGUGGGUGCAGUCGUUUUUUUCCUGUUACUCUAUUGGGUUAUUCUGUAAAUAAUUAUUUUAAUAGUUUCCUGUGAAUUUAUGAAUGGUUGGUUUCUUUAUCGUCUUGUUGACCACUUUUACUGCAACUUCUGAUUCACCUGUUGAUUGAUGUUAUACCCUGGGAUGAAAGGCUAGUUCUGAUAUACCCUGGGAUGAAAGGCUAGUUCUGGUAUACCCUGGGAUGAAAGGCUAGUUCUGGUAUACCCUGGGAUGAAAGGCUAGUUCUGGUAUACCCUGGGAUGAAAGGCUAGUUCUGGUAUACCCUGGGAUGAAAGGCUAGUUCUGGUAUACCCUGGGAUGAAAAGCUAGUUCUGGUAUACCCUGGGAUGAAAGGCUAGUUCUGGUAUACCCUGGGAUGAAAGGCUAGUUCUGGUAUACCCUGGGAUGAAAGGCUAGUUCUGUUACCCUGGGAUGAAAGGCUAGUUCUGGU